rnacentral:rRNA from 1 species
AGUCAUAUGCUUGUCUCAAAGCUUAAGCCAUGCAAGUCUCAGUACAGACUAUAUUAAAGUGAAACCGCAAAAGGCUCAGUAAACCAGUUUUAAUUUACUAGAGUUAACUUGACUGUGCUUGGAUAACUGUGGUAAUUCUAGAGCUAAUACAUGCAACAAAGCCGUGACCAUUCGUGGUCAGGGCGCUUUUAUUAGACCAAGACCAAUCGCCCGGCCAGUCCGGGCGUUAAGUUGAGGAACCUAGAUAACACAGCAGAUCGCAUGGUCUUUGUACCGGCGACCUAUCUUUCAAAUGCCUGACUUAUCAACUGACGAUGGUAGACUCUGUGUCUACCAUGGCUGUUACGGGUAACGGGGAAUCAGGGUUCGAUUCCGGAGAGGGAGCCUGAGAAACGGCUACCACAUCCAAGGAAGGCAGCAGGCACGCAAAUUACCCACUCCCGGAACGGGGAGGUAGUGACAAAAAAUAACGAUACGGGACUCGAUAUGAGGCCUCGUAAUCGGAAUGAGUACACUCUAAAUCCUUUAACAAAAAUCUAUUGGAGGGCAAGUCUGGUGCCAGCAGCCGCGGUAAUUCCAGCUCCAAUAGCGUAUAUUAAAGUUGUUGCGGUUAAAAAGCUCGUAGUUGGUUCUGCGUCCCGCGCUGUCGGUACACCGUUUGUCGGUGACACUGGCAUGACGCGGGAUGUCCUGUCGGUGGCGGCGGAGACCAUAUCGCCGUCGGCUAACACCGCGGCGUGUUGGCCUUCUGUCGCCGGCUUUAUCCUACCGCGGUGCUCUUCACUGAGUGUCGAGGUAGGCCGACACGUUUACUUUGAACAAAUUAGAGUGCUUAAAGCAGGCAAAAAUCUCUGCCAGAAUAGUGGUGCAUGGAAUAAUGGAACAGGACCUUGGUUCUAUUCUGUUGGUCUCCGGAACACAAGGUAAUGAUCAAUGUGGACAGGCGGGGGCAUUCGUAUUGCGGCGUUAGAGGUGAAAUUCUUGGAUCGUCGCAAGACGCACUAGAGCGAAAGCAAUUGCCAAGUAUGUCUUAAUUGAUCAAGAACGAAAGUUAGAGGUUCGAAGGCGAUCAGA